rnacentral:rRNA from 1 species
AAUAGAAUCUAUUUGAUCCUGAGAAUUUAAGCAGGGUUGGGCCUGAUUUUUACUUGGAUGGGAGACCACGAAGAAAUGUCAGGGCUUCUGGAU